ACGUAGGGUGCAAGCGUUAAUCGGAAUUACUGGGCGUAAAGCGUGCGCAGGCGGUUGUGCAAGACAGAUGUGAAAUCCCCGGGCUCAACCUGGGAAUUGCAUUUGUGACUGUACGGCUAGAGUGUGUCAGAGGGGGGUAGAAUUCCACGUGUAGCAGUGAAAUGCGUAGAGAUGUGGAGGAAUACCGAUGGCGAAGGCAGCCCCCUGGGAUAACACUGACGCUCAUGCACGAAAGCGUGGGGAGCAAACAGGAUUAGAUACCCUGGUAGUCCACGCCCUAAACGAUGUCUACUAGUUGUCGGGUCUUUAUUGACUUGGUAACGCAGCUAACGCGUGAAGUAGACCGCCUGGGGAGUACGGUCGCAAGAUUA
rnacentral:rRNA from 1 species